UCCAAUGUGGUGUAGUGGCUAACAUUGCUGUCUUUCAUCCACCAUUGAUCACAGCAGCCCGGGGUUCGAUUCCCCGCAUUGGAA